CAGAAUUCAUCAGAGGACCCCCACUGUCCUAGGAGAAGGCGACUCACAAUAGAGGAAGCCUGAGACUCUGAACGACUGUCCUGAAGACCACUUGCCACCUUUCAGGUAUUCUGAAAGAGAUCACACAGAAAUUGCAGGUGCACAAGAGCCAGCACCAGUGAUGAAAAGGGAAGGACACCUUAGCCGAAAAUGGAAUCUCUGCUGUUGAGUAGCCUUUGUGUCUACUUUUUUCCUUACCCCUGGGCUCCAGGAAAUCCACACUUUCCCAUUCAGGUCAGAGGACGGUGACCUUUCUCCUCCUGCUUUCUUUUCAACUCUUUCCAGAGGUGAAGCUUUAAGGUUGCUUGAAGACAGAGUUAAUAACUCUCUCCAAGAGACGAGCACCACCGCCUUAGGUCAGCCACAGAAAAAAAGCACCAGUCCCCAAGUGCCAUAGACCCAGUUCACAAUUGCAUUGUCAUUCACCAGCUGUGUGACUUCAGACACAGUUUUAGUCCUAUGUCACUGUUUCUCAUCUAUAGGUAAAGAUGAUGUCUACAUUGGAGGGUUGGUAAGAAUAUUAACUAAAACCACAUGUAAAGAACUUAA